AAGACUAUAGACCUGCGGAGUACCUGCGGAGGGAUCAUUACCGAGUUAUACAACUCAUCAACCCUGUGAACAUACCUAUAACGUUGCCUCGGCGGGAACAGACGGCCCCGUAACACGGGCCGCCCCCGCCAGAGGACCCCCUAACUCUGUUUCUAUAAUGUUUCUUCUGAGUAAACAAGCAAAUAAAUUAAAACUUUUAACAACGGAUCUCU
rnacentral:misc_RNA from 1 species